rnacentral:misc_RNA from 1 species
GUAGGUGAACCUGCGGAAGGAUCAUUACCGAAUUGUCAACACGAGUUGUUGCUGGUCCUCAAAUGGGGGCAUGUGCACACUCUGUUUGCACAUCCACUCACACCUGUGCACCCUCCAUAGUUCUGCAGCCUGGGGGCUCUGUCCCCCCUGCUGUGGCUCUAUGUAUUUACACACACACACUGUGAUAAAGUCUUAUGGAAUGUAUGCCGCGUUUAACGCAAUACAAUACAACUUUCAGCAACGGAUCUCUUGGCUCUC